rnacentral:rRNA from 1 species
GACGAACGCUGGCGGCGUGCUUAACACAUGCAAGUCGAACGGAAAGGUCCUGCUUUUGUGGGGUUCUCGAGUGGCGAACGGGUGUGUAACACGUGAGUAACCUGCCCUUGACUUUGGGAUAACUUCAGGAAACUGGGGCUCAUAUCGGAUAGGAGCUCCUGCUGCAUGGUGGGGGUCGGAAAGUUUCGGCGGUUGGGGAUGGACUCGCGGCUUAGCAGCUUGUUGGUGGGGUAGUGGCUUACCAAGGCUUUGACGGGUAGCCGGCCUGAGAGGGUGACCGGCCACAUUGGGACUGAGAUACGGCCCAGACUCCUACGGGAGGCAGCAGUGGGGAAUAUUGCACAAUGGGCGGAAGCCUGAUGCAGCAACGCCGCGUGCGGGAUGACGGCCUUCGGGUUGUAAACCGCUUUCGCCUGUGACGAAGCGUGAGUGACGGUAAUGGGUAAAGAAGCACCGGCUAACUACGUG